CUGGGGUCGGGCCCUCGCAGGGGGUUGGUGGAAGGCCGCGAGGGUGACCCCCAAACCCCAAUCCUGGCAUCACCAGAGCGAGCUUUUCCAGGCCGCCUUUUCCAGGCGAGCAGGCCUGGUGGAAAUGAGAUGUACAUUUACCCUUGACGCACUGCACGCCUGGCUGAGGCUCCCAGAUUACUAGGGAGUGG
rnacentral:lncRNA from 12 species